rnacentral:rRNA from 1 species
GAUGAACGCUGGCGGCGUGCCUAACACAUGCAAGUCGAACGAUGAAACCGCCUCCGGGCGGACAUGAAGUGGCGAACGGGUGAGUAACACGUGACCGACCUGCCCCCCGCCCAGGGACAGCCCCCCGAAAGGGGGAUUAAUACCUGUUACUCCGGAAGCGGCGCAUGCCGCCCCCGGGAAAGCUCUGGCGGCGGGGGAUGGGGUCGCGGCCCAUCAGGUAGACGGCGGGGCAGAGGCCCACCGUGCCGACGACGGGUAGCCGGGUUGAGAGACCGACCGGCCACAUUGGGACUGAGAUACGGCCCAGACUCCUACGGGAGGCAGCAGUGGGGAAUUUUGCGCUAUGGGGGCAACCCUGACGCAGCAACGCCGCGUGCGGGACGAAGGCGUCCGCGUCGUAAACCGCUUUCAGCGGGGAACACUUUUCGAGGGUACCCGCAGAAGAAGGCCCGGCUAAAUACGUGCCAGCAGCCGCCGUAAAAC